CCUACGGGAGGCAGCAGUGGGGGAUAUUGCACAAUGGGGGGAACCCUGAUGCAGCGACGCCGCGUGGGUGAAGGAGUGCUUCGGCAUGUAAAGCCCUAUCGGCAGGGAAGAAGCAAGACGGUACCUGACUAAGAAGCCCCGGCUAACUACGUGCCAGCAGCCGCGGUAAUACGUAGGGGGCGAGCGUUAUCCGGAUUCACUGGGUGUAAAGGGAGCGUAGACGGCCAAGCAAGCCAGGGGUGAAAGCCCGGGGCCCAACCCCGGGACUGCCCUUGGAACUGCAUGGCUGGAGUGCGGGAGGGGCAGGCGGAAUUCCUGGUGUAGCGGUGAAAUGCGUAGAUAUUAGGAGGAACACCAGUGGCGAAGGCGGCCUGCUGGGCUUUUACUGACGCUGAGGCUCGAAAGUGUGGGGAGCAAACAGGAUUAGAUACCCCAGUAGUC
rnacentral:rRNA from 1 species